rnacentral:rRNA from 1 species
CCUACGGGAGGCAGCAGUGGGGAAUCUUGCGCAAUGGGCGAAAGCCUGACGCAGCCAUGCCGCGUGAAUGAUGAAGGUCUUAGGAUUGUAAAAUUCUUUCACCGGGGACGAUAAUGACGGUACCCGGAGAAGAAGCCCCGGCUAACUUCGUGCCAGCAGCCGCGGUAAUACGAAGGGGGCUAGCGUUGCUCGGAAUUACUGGGCGUAAAGGGAGCGUAGGCGGACAUUUAAGUCAGGGGUGAAAUCCCAGAGCUCAACUCUGGAACUGCCUUUGAUACUGGGUGUCUUGAGUGUGAUAGAGGUAUGUGGAACUCCGAGUGUAGAGGUGAAAUUCGUAGAUAUUCGGAAGAACACCAGUGGCGAAGGCGACAUACUGGAUCAUUACUGACGCUGAGGCUCGAAAGCGUGGGGAGCAAACAGGAUUAGAUACCCUGGUAGUCCACGCCGUAAACGAUGAUUGCUAGUUGUUGGGAUGUUUACAUCUCGGUGACGCNGCUACGCAUAAGUACACUCCGCCGUCGGGAGGUACGGUCGCGAGAUUAAACUACGUAAGUUAAGUUAGUACGGCGUUGAGACGNGCGACGGACGACGACGAGGGAGAGG